UCGGAUCAAAGUUCUGGCGAUCUGCCAACCACGGCAGGCCCUGGAGGCAGCAGCCA
rnacentral:SRP_RNA from 1 species